GACGAACGCUGGCGGCGUGCUUAACACAUGCAAGUCGAACGGAAAGGCCCUGCUUUUGUGGGGUGCUCGAGUGGCGAACGGGUGAGUAACACGUGAGUAACCUGCCCUUGACUUUGGGAUAACUUCAGGAAACUGGGGCUAAUACCGGAUAGGAGCUCCUGCUGCAUGGUGGGGGUUGGAAAGUUUCGGCGGUUGUGGAUGGACUCGCGGCUUAUCAGCUUGUUGGUGGGGUAGUGGCUUACCAAGGCUUUGACGGGUAGCCGGCCUGAGAGGGUGACCGGCAACAUUGGGACUGAGAUACGGCCCAGACUCCUACGGGAGGCAGCAGUGGGGAAUAUUGCACAAUGGGCGGAAGCCUGAUGCAGCAACGCCGCGUGCGGGAUGACGGCCUUCGGGUUGUAAACCGCUUUCGCCUGUGACGAAGCGUGAGUGACGGUAAUGGGUAAAGAAGCACCGGCUAACUACGUG
rnacentral:rRNA from 1 species